UAUAAAAUUCUUUAUUGGAUACGCAUACAGUAACUAUCUUCUCUUUUGUGAUUUGACUUUUCGUUCUUUUACUGAUGCCUCUUGUUUUAUUUUUUUCUAUCUCCAGUUUACCCAGACUUAUAGAUUGUGUCCUUCCAGGAUCCAGACUGAGAGCUUGUGAUGCUUAACCCAUUGUUAGCUAGUUUUGUUUACCUGGUACCACAGAAUUCCAUAGUUACAUAAAUCAGCAGGGGAAGCACUGGGGAAGACAACCAUUGGAAUCUUUGAAAAUGGAGAUAAAUGGAAGGUUACUUAAAAUGCUCAAAUAUAAAAAGGAUGCUGCUAUUAUUUCAAUUUGGAUAUUCUGUGCUCAAAUCUAUUCUUGGGACUAUAUGAUGUUGGGGCUGGCACUCUGAACAUUGGAUUUCUCCUUUCCCUCUUGUCUACCUGCCCAUCAGAGAUUGGAAGGCAAGGUGAGGGAAGGGGGUGAACUCUGUUCUGUUUGUGUUCAACACUUGUCAGCAAGUACUUCUCCCCCGUCCCUUCCCCCACCACCCCUGGCAGCAUUCAGUUC
rnacentral:lncRNA from 12 species